rnacentral:rRNA from 1 species
GUCGAGCGGUAACAGAUCCAGCUUGCUGGAUGCUGACGAGCGGCGGACGGGUGAGUAAUGCAUAGGAAUCUGCCCGAUAGUGGGGGAUAACCUGGGGAAACCCAGGCUAAUACCGCAUACGUCCUACGGGAGAAAGGGGGCUCCGGCUCCCGCUAUGGGAUGAGCCUAUGUCGGAUUAGCUAGUUGGUGAGGUAACGGCUCACCAAGGCCACGAUCCGUAGCUGGUCUGAGAGGAUGAUCAGCCACAUCGGGACUGAGACACGGCCCGAACUCCUACGGGAGGCAGCAGUGGGGAAUAUUGGACAAUGGGGGCAACCCUGAUCCAGCCAUGCCGCGUGUGUGAAGAAGGCCCUCGGGUUGUAAAGCACUUUCAGCGAGGAAGAACGCCUAGCGGUUAAUACCCGCUAGGAAAGACAUCACUCGCAGAAGAAGCACCGGCUAACUCCGUGCCAGCAGCCGCGGUAAUACGGAGGGUGCAAGCGUUAAUCGGAAUUACUGGGCGUAAAGCGCGCGUAGGUGGCUUGAUAAGCCGGUUGUGAAAGCCCCGGGCUCAACCUGGGAACGGCAUCCGGAACUGUCAAGCUAGAGUGCAGGAGAGGAAGGUAGAAUUCCCGGUGUAGCGGUGAAAUGCGUAGAGAUCGGGAGGAAUACCAGUGGCGAAGGCGGCCUUCUGGACUGACACUGACACUGAGGUGCGAAAGCGUGGGUAGCAAACAGG